GAUGAAGAACGCAGCGAAAUGCGAUACGUAAUGUGAAUUGCAGAAUUCAGUGAAUCAUCGAAUCUUUGAACGCACAUUGCGCCUGCCAGCACUCUGGCAGGCAUGCCUGUUCGAGCGUCAUUUCAACCAUCAAGCCCUAGGCUUGCGUUGGAGCCCUGCGGCUGCCGCAGGCCCCUAAAAGCAGUGGCGGGCUCGCUAUCACACCGAGUGCAGUAGAUUACUCUUCGCUCAGGGCGUGUGGCGGGUUCCAGCCGUGAAACCCCCUACUUCUCAAGGUUGUCCUCGGAUCAGGUAGGAAUACCCGCUGAACUUAAGCAUAUCAAUAAGCGGAGGA
rnacentral:misc_RNA from 1 species